CCCCCAACCUACCCAUCGUCUUCCUCGGUUCAUCCACCAGUACCUCACUUUCCUCUCCCCUCUCCCUCGGCACGGCAAUGGAGUCUUCGUCCUCCGCCACCAAGCGUAGGCCGACGCCGGCACCCCUUCCGCUUAUCCCCUGCCCUUUUUGCGGCGCACAAGCCCUCACCUUCGUCUGCGGCCCUCAUGGAUCUAAGCCAUCCCCAGUCCACCGCCGCCGCUCUUCUGGACUAGGCCAUUGUUGCUGAUUCUUUCAGCGCUGAGCUAUCCAUCAGAGAACCAUGUCCGACUACACUAGCCGUGACGAUAUUAGCGAUAGGCAGAUCACCCCACCAGAUCCAGCACGGCUGCUGGCACAGCUAGUCGCUCAGAUGGUCUCCCCCCAAAUACAACAUCCAGAAGCUCUGUCAGGCAUGUUGUGACUGUAAUGAACGGGUUUAGUGAGUACAAAUGCUGUUAGUGAAAGAAAUAGGUUUUGGUGGGAUGCUUGAACUCCCAAUGAUCCAGAAAUUAAAUCUCAGGCUGAGCUCCUGGUGCAUGAGUAAGGUAGAUGUUCGUCCCUGAGCAGUAGUCAUCAACAGCAAAAAAAAAUACUACAUUUUCAGUGCUGCAGAUGUGGCCAUGAUGUUCGGCAUACGGUCUGGCAACAGAGAUGUGUUCGGUCCGGAUGGUAACAUCAAUGAGGCGGCAAGCGCGGCGGUCCUUUCUAUGUGAACAGAAUGCACAAGCAACCCGCCAUGUCACCACUGCGCGCCAUAACAUACACACCGACAUGAUCAACUUCACAGACAAGCUGAUGGCAACACUUUGCAUCCAAGUGCACAUGCUGUGUUGCGAGGGCUUACUCUGAUUGUCCCUCUGAAAAUGAUAGAUAACAAUGCAACAUCUACCGAACCUCACCCAGCUAAUCCACCCAGUUCUACUCUACAAGCCAUUGUACCGAACCCCAGUUUCUAGCAAAAUCCAUGGCGUGAGGCUUGAAAUUGUCUGAUUGUGAAGGAGAGCGCUCUUCUAAUAAACAUAAACCGGCUAAAUGGAUGAGGCAAUCCGGCUCCACUUCCCGCCCUCAGGAAACCAAGGCCUCCAAAAGCCCUAGCAAGGAAUCUGUAAGUGAUGCUUGGAUAACUGAAUCAAUUUGCUCUGCUGUCCAGCACUAUGCACGGUGCAUAUCAGUUUCAGUUAAGGAUAUGUACGCCGACUGCCAGAAGGGUGAUCCUUCGACAGUAAUUUUUGUUGUCAACCGCGUCAACAUACCGAAGAGGAAGUAUGUAUCAUCAAGGAGUUAUGCCACCAACCCAUGGUUCGCAGGCCGGCCAGUCGUUCCAACAUCAACUACUACUGUUGAACUUCUUGAAUCCCACUUCCAAUCGCUGUCUGCACACCACCUUGCCAGGUUUGCAUAUAUUAUCAUUCUCCACUAUUUAAAUAAAUGGCAUGCUACACUGCAUCACCAUAAGAAAUUUACUGGUUAUGACUUUUUUUUCCAAGAACUGGAUAGUACACAAUGCUCCACAGUUCGUACGAGUUAGCGGAAGGACAUCAUGGAUCAGCUAGUCGGCAAUGACAUGCUCGAUCAUGAACUAGGGUGUAACAUUUUGUGAGAACCAGGUCGAUCUGGAGUCAAACCACGCUUUGCCAUAUCUGAAUCACCGUCACAUACUAGAGUUUGAUUUAUCGAUGCUCGCUCUAUAAGGCACAAGUAUUUCUGAUUUUCUAGAGAUUCAGAAUCAAUUAAUUGGGGCAAACGGUCCAGCCUGCAAUUGAGGCAUGCCGGCUGAAAUGAUGUUGAGAAACAGGUAUUUGUGUUAUGCACAUCACCAGGCACCAUGAUGUUGAGAAGCUACGAAUGCCUAUCACCAAGAUUAACUUGGCGAAAACUAAGAAAUCCAUUCUGCAAGACGUGAUGAAGCUUCAGGCCAACAGUUCUUUGCCAGCCGAUGCAAUAUGGUCAGUUCAUGCUCCUAGCGAUGGUUUUGAAGACACCCUCUGAACGCAAGCCAUUUUACGUGUCAGCCACAACACGCUUCAUGUUUUUCUCCAUAUGAGAUGACUUUUGCAACCCACCCAGCUAUGUUGUACCUUCAAACAGAAUACUUUAUCGUACAAGUCCCAGUACCAGGGCAACCAAGCAGACAACAUCUCUGUUGUGAAUAUGUUUUUUGGUCGCUA